rnacentral:rRNA from 1 species
ACGAACGCUGGCGGCGUGCUUAACACAUGCAAGUCGAACGGAAAGGCUCUGCUUUUGUGGGGUGCUCGAGUGGCGAACGGGUGAGUAACACGUGAGUAACCUGCCCUUGACUUUGGGAUAACUUCAGGAAACUGGGGCUAAUACCGGAUAGGAGCUCCUGCUGCAUGGUGGGGGUUGGAAAGUUUCGGCGGUUGGGGAUGGACUCGCGGCUUAUCAGCUUGUUGGUGGGGUAGUGGCUUACGAAGGCUUUGACGGGUAGCCGGCCUGAGAGGGUGACCGGCCACAUUGGGACUGAGAUACGGCCCAGACUCCUACGGGAGGCAGCAGUGGGGAAUAUUGCACAAUGGGCGGAAGCCUGAUGCAGCAACGCCGCGUGCGGGAUGACGGCCUUCGGGUUGUAAACCGCUUUCGCCUGUGACGAAGCGUGAGUGACGGUAAUGGGUAAAGAAGCACCGGCUAACUACGUG